UUUAAUCUAUGAGGAUCCUAUCUCCCUGCACCUCUUUCUCCUCUCAUCCCGCGAGACCUUCAUGGUCCAUAGAUCGCAUCUACCUUCUGCUCUACGCCUAUCCGCAUUGCAUCCCUCACCUCGCUAGUCUCCUGGACCAUGGCUUGUCCGCGAUGCUGCCUGCAUGUCGUCGAUAACCUCGACCCCGGUGCGGUCGCACUGCCGCCUGCACGUCGCCGGUCGCCUCGACCCCAGCGCAGCCGUGCUGCCGCCUGCACGUCGCUGGUAGCCCCGACCCCGGUGCGCGCGUGCUGUCGCCUGCACUUCGUCGGUCGCCUCGACCACGGUGCGGCCGCGCUGCCGCCUGCACGUCGCCCAUAGCUUCGACCCUGAUGCGCCCACGCUACCGCUUGCUCAUCUCCAUCCACUCCGCUGCUACAGGUAGAAUUUGGUACUUAUGUUUUCAGAAAUUUUGAUGAAGUUCGACCAUAUAUUAGUGAGUACUCCAGUGGUCAAGAUGGAUGUUCACCACAACCAUUUACCACCAUGUGGAACCAGAAGUCCAUUCAGUGGUUCACAAGAGAAGGUAAGACAAAGGAUUCCAGAAUAAAGUGUGUAUGUAGAUGCAUAUGCAUGUACAUAUCAGUAUCUCUGUGUGAAGAUGUUAAACAUAGCUAUUUAUGUAUCUCUGUGUGAAGAUGUUAACAUAGCUACAUAGUCAAAUAUUUUUUGCUUUCACGAACAUGAUAUGAGUGAGCUCAACGUAGGCUUUUUGGCACUAUCACAUGGUCCAUUAGAAAAUGUAACAUGUUUUACUAGCUAUGACAGGGGUAGAUUCAGAUGUCGUGUUCAAAUUCGAGAUAGACUCCUCUCCACACAGACCAAUGGGGUGGCUAUCCUUUCAGAAGAAGGGGAUAAUAAUUGGUAAUACAAUAGAAUAUUAUGCCAUAUUGACAGAGAUAGUCGAGCUGCAAUAUUUAGAUGGAAGGCGUGUGACAUUAUUUCGUUGCAACUAGAUUGACGUAUUUAACAAAGAGCAUGGAAUGAAGUAAGACAACAAGAAUGGAAUCGUUAGGCUUAACCUGCAGUGUUUGCUUUAGAUAGAUGAGCCUUUCAUUCUGGAUAGCAAAGUUUUUUUAAAAAAAUAUUAUUAAGGACAAACUUAUAAAAGGAUGGCACACAAUUGUGAAAAAAUCCAUCACGUCAUGCUUAUAAUGUACCACAUGGACAUUCCGAUGUUAUACCCUCUGAACCUGAACCUGGCAAUAGUGACAAAGACGACUUCUUUCAAAAAUUAACAACAACGUCAUGUAGAAAGAGAACAACAUGAGGCCACUAGUUUAUUCAAGUCUUAAUCUGUAGUAUUUGAUUUGCUUCUUAUAUUAGCUUUUACCUUAUUAAUAAAUAGUGACACAAGUAGUUCUGUACUUACUUUAUUUGAUUUAGCAUUCACUUAUUUAACUUAAAUUGUACUUUGUAUAGCCUUUGUGCACACUUCAACCAAACGCUAUAUAUAUAGACACACACACACAUGUUAUCACAGUGAGUCAUCAUAGGUAUGGAAACUUGACAACAUUAGCUUGGGAAAGAUGCUUUCACAGAUGAAUAAGUCUGGACUGGUACACAAAGGCAUUGCUAGGCGGACCUUCAUGGAGAAAUCAAGUCAAUUAGCAGAUUUCAGCAGAAAAGGGUUACCCACAGGCUCAAAUGCAAGAUGCGGAACUGUGAAAAAAAUACAAGUUAGCUACAAAAGAUGGAAACGAUGCGCUAACAAAUACACCAAUCUUGUUUAGUACAAAUUGGGAUGCAGGUGAUUCCAAAAGUGAGUUUGUAAGUAUCACGUACUAAACCAAGAAUUGUUUCUAUGCUUUAUUGUCUUCAAGUAAAUCAUAAUAUAUUGCAGCUAUGAAUGAUCAAGUUGAUGCCAGCAAUGAAAGUGACAUGGGAAAUUCAAUGGAUGAAUUUUAUGGUAUGUAAAAUGUAUUUAUUUCAUCUUUAAUUCAUCUACUGUGUUGGCCGAUUGGUUGUAUAUUUUCAAACACUGCAAAUGGUGUAGAUGAAUUAAUAGGUAAUAAAAAUCUAGAAAGUGAAGAAGUGUAGGGCAACCAUGGCCUUGCAAGGAGUUUUUGGUCAGUUUCAUGUUGCCUCUUUAUUUGAUCUAGUAGUAAACCUUCUGGAUAGAUAAUUUGGGAAUUGGUACACAAUUUAACUUCUGUUGUUUUUAUUCCAAUAAUAUAAGAUCAGUAUGGAUAGUCUAUUUUCUAAGACACACAAGAAGGGUACAACCUUUGUUGAUUGUACAACCUCCGCCAAACACGUAAGACUUAAUUUAACUGUAAUAACUUCAAUAAUGAACAACAAGUGUAUAAUUCCUACUUAGAGAUAGAAGUAACUUACUGUUGGCGCUCCAACAACAAGUGUACAAUUCCUACUUAGAGAUAGAAGUAACUUACUGUUGGUGCUCCAGACACAAACUAAGACCAUAGUUUAACUCGAAGAAAAGUUCAAUGGCAUGGUGUAAGAAGUUUCUGAAAUUAAGCGACUUGUGUCGGGUAGUUCUCUAAGUGAUAGUUCUCAUGAAAGCCAACAUGAUCAAGUAAGUUGUUAUUAUACAUUGAUUUUAUAUGUUAUUACACUUUGUGCCAAUUUAUUCACAUGGGCUGACUUCCAUAAACUACUCAACAUUUUGUAGGAUUGAUGGUCCACCGUGAUAUAUAGAAGUAUCAAGUAUCAGGAGGCAGUGUAAGAGCUGAUGAAGAAUGGUAUCCAUUCGAACAAUGAUGGCGUCCCUCGAUUGAAGAUAAAUAAAUAUUAUAUUUUCUAGUUGUCUCGUUUUCCAAAUAGAUAUGAUCAAGUCCAUUGGUCAUAUAAGGAUUGCUUUUGACUCAAAUUUCUGAAAUGAUAUUUUUUCAGAAUUGUAUGUCGGAAUAUUGGUAUUUCUAUCUAUUAAUGAAAGAGGCUAUGGCCCUUACAAUUCA